GUAAAUGGCGACCGGCGAACGGGUGCGUAACGCGUAUGUAACCUACCUUUAACUGGGGCAUAGCUCGAAGAAAUUCGAAUUAAUUCCCCAUAGUACAAUAUUAUCGCAUGAUAUAAUUGUUAAAGAUUUAUCGGUUAAAGAUGGGCAUGCGUCUGAUUAGUUUGUUGGUGAGGUAACGGCUCACCAAGGCCACGAUCAGUAGGGGUUCUGAGAGGAUGAUCCCCCACAUUGGUACUGAGACACGGACCAGACUUCUACGGAAGGCAGCAGUAAGGAAUAUUGGGCAAUGGGCGAAAGCCUGACCCAGCCAUGCCGCGUGCAGGAUUGAAGACCUUAUGGGUUGUAAACUGCUUUUAUAUAGGAAGAAAAAACUCUUGCGAGAGUAACUGACGGUACUAUAUGAAUAAGGACUGGCUAACUCCGUGCCAGCAGCCGCGGUAAUACGGAGGGUUCAAGCGUUAUCCGGAUUUAUUGGGUUUAAAGAGUGCGUAGGUGGUUUAUUAAGUCAGUGGUGAAAUCCUGCAGCUCAACUGUAGAACUGCCAUUGAUACUGGUAAACUUGAGUUUGGCUGAGGUAAGCGGAAUUUAUGAUGUAGCGGUGAAAUGCAUAGAUAUCAUAAGGAACACCAAUAGCGUAGGCAGCUUACUAG
rnacentral:rRNA from 1 species